UACGUAGGUGACAAGCGUUGUCCGGAUUUACUGGGCGUAAAGCGCACGCAGGCGGUCUGCUAAGUUUGGAGUGACAGUUGGUGGCUUAACUGCCAAAGUGCUUCGAAAACUGACAGACUUGAGGGCUUCAGAGGGACACGGAAUUCCGGGUGGAGUGGUGAAAUGCGUAGAGAUCCGGAGGAACACCAAAGGCGAAGGCAGUGUCCUGGGGAGUACCUGACGCUCAGGUGCGAAAGCCAGGGGAGCGAACGGG
rnacentral:rRNA from 1 species